rnacentral:rRNA from 1 species
CCUACGGGAGGCAGCAGUGGGGAAUAUUGCACAAUGGGGGGAACCCUGAUGCAGCGACGCCGCGUGGGUGAGGAAGUACUUCGGUAUGUAAAGCCCUAUCAGCAGGGAAGAAAAUGACGGUACUUGACUAAGAAGCCCCGGCUAACUCCGUGCCAGCAGCCGCGGUAAUACGGGGGAUGCGAGCGUUAUCCGGAUUUAUUGGGUUAAAAGGGUGCGUAGGCGGGAUGCCAAGUCAGCGGUAAAAAUGCGGUGCUCAACGCCGUCGAGCCGUUGAAACUGGCGUUCUUGAGUGGGCGAGAAGUAUGCGGAAUGCGUGGUGUAGCGGUGAAAUGCAUAGAUAUCACGCAGAACUCCGAUUGCGAAGGCAGCAUACCGGCGCCCUACUGACGCUGAGGCACGAAAGCGUGGGUAUCGAACAGGAUUAGAUACCCUUGUAGUC